rnacentral:rRNA from 1 species
UAGGGAAUCUUCCGCAAUGGACGCAAGUCUGACGGAGCAACGCCGCGUUAGUGAAGAAGGAUUUCGGUUCGUAAAACUCUGUUGUUAGAGAAGAACAGCGCAUAGAGUAACUGUUAUGCGUGUGACGGUAUCUAACCAGAAAGCCACGGCUAACUACGUGCCAGCAGCCGCGGUAAUACGUAGGUGGCAAGCGUUGUCCGGAUUUAUUGGGCGUAAAGCGAGCGCAGGCGGUCAAUUAAGUCUGAUGUGAAAGCCCCCGGCUCAACCGGGGAGGGUCAUUGGAAACUGGUUGGCUUGAGUGCAGAAGAGGAGAGUGGAAUUCCAUGUGUAGCGGUGAAAUGCGUAGAUAUAUGGAGGAACACCAGUGGCGAAGGCGACUCUCUGGUCUGUAACUGACGCUGAGGCUCGAAAGCGUGGGUAGCAAACAGG